AUGCUCACUUCAGCAGCACUUAUACUAAAAUUGGAAUGAUACAGAGAAGAUUAGCAUGACCCCUACACAAGGACGACACCCAAAUUCGUGAAGCGUUCGAUAUUUUU